GGAGUCAUUCUUACUAAAGAUAACCUUAUUAAGAGGAAUUGGCAUGAAAGUCCGCAAUGUGUCUUUUGUCACCAUGAUGAGACAAUAAAACAUUUAUUCUUUCAAUGCAAAUUGACUCGUUCUAUAUGGUCAAUUAUCCAAAUAGCUUCUGGCUUGUAUCCUCCUUGUACUGUUGCUAAUGUAUUUGGCCACUGGCUACAUGAGAUUGAUCACAGGUUUAGAACCCUUCUCAGGGUGGGAGCGCUUGCCGUUAUUUGGUCGCUUUGGCUCUAUAGAAAUGAUAAGGUUUUUAACGAUAAAAUUACUUCUCUUAUGCAGGUUAUCUACAGAUGUACCAGGACUCUUCGUUUAUGGUCCUCUCUACAACGUGUGGAAAAUCGAGACCUGUUUAUGGAGGUGUGUACACGAUUGGAGGCUACGGCGAGGGAUACUUUUACCCUAACAUGGAUGGCAGCAUGA
rnacentral:rRNA from 1 species